rnacentral:rRNA from 1 species
UCUAGAGCUAAUACAUGCAGUUUCAGGGUGGUGUAACAGCCAUCCUUUGCAUUUAUUAGAAGAAAACCGACUACGGUGGUGAGGUCGAAAGCUUCGCCUCCGUAAGGUGAAUCUAGAUAACUUUGCAGAUCGUAUGGCCUUGAGCCGGCGACAUUUCAAUUGAAUUUCUGCCCUAUCAACUUGUUGGUAAGGUAGUGGCUUACCAAGGUUUCAACGGGUAACGGGGAAUCAGGGUUCGAUUCCGGAGAGGGAGCCUGAGAAAUGGCUACCACAUCCAAGGGCGGCAGCAGGCGCGCAAAUUACCCAAUCCAGAUUCUGGGAGGUGGUGAUGAGAAAUACUAGAUGGUUUCCCUAUGGGAUGCCAUACUGGAAUGGACGUAACUCAAGAAAUUCGAUGAGUAACAACUAGAGGGCAAGUCUGGUGCCAGCAGCCGCGGUAAUUCCAGCUCUAGUAGUGUAUCGUAAAGUUGCUGCGUUUAAAAAGCUCGUAGUUGGAUUACGCAGCAUGAAUUAGUCGAUUGGCGCUGUGGUACGCAAAAUCUGUGUGGAGAUCAACCCUUUCGUGGUUAAUCCCGGAGGGGCGGGUUUUCACAUGG